UACAGAGGUCUCAAGCGUUGUUCGGAUUCAUUGGGCGUAAAGGGUGUGUAGGUGGCGCCGUAAGUCGGGUGUGAAAUUUCGGAGCUUAACUCCGAAACUGCAUUCGAUACAGCGGUGCUUGAGGACUGGAGAGGAGACUGGAAUUCAUGGUGUAGCGGUGAAAUGCGUAGAUAUCGUAAGGAAGACCAGUGGCGAAGGCGGGUCUCUGGACAGUUCCUGACGCUGAGGCACGAAGGUCAGGGGAGCAAACGGG
rnacentral:rRNA from 1 species